CCCUCUCAAAGGAUCUGUGCCGGGCAGAUGGUGUUUGGGAUGGACUUGUUUCUAUCGGCCCCUCCUUCUAGCCUGACCACUGGACUGGCCUACAGCCUCCUUCCAGCUCUCAGCCGGUGUUGUAACCCCCGAAUUACGGAUGCUAACUCUCUACGGAUAAUUGUCCUGUUUCUUAAAAGUCUCACCAGAGAGACUUCAGUGUUGUGUACAGACAGUUUGCCUCUGCGUUUUCCCUCACAGAAGCUUCCAUCCUCCUUCCAGCCUGAGGCAAUCGAGAUAUGCAGACAGCUGGUUUCUGUGCUGCAUCCUCCUGCAACAAGCCCCGGGCUCCCUGCCCUUCCCUGACCACUCCAAGAGAACCCAGCCUAGCGUUAGAACGACACAACCCAUAACCACCACCACCCCCAAUGGAAGUAUUCUGAGGAGCCAAAUGCCAGCACCAGGCAUACCCCUCCCCUCCUCUGCAUCUCCAAAGACCACCACUUUUCCUGAUAAACAGCCGAACUCUCCAGGUGCCUGUCCUUAAGACCUUAAAGAAAUAACAAACUCUAAGGAGAUUAGGACCCUGAGUUUAAAUCAUGGAGAAAGGGUAAUCAGAGGUCACAGAUAGUUACAACUGGCCACAAAAUUAGUCCCUAAACAGACACCCAUUAACUACCCUCCUGGCUUCAGUUCCAUCCCACCAAAUGGUUACAGCCCU
rnacentral:lncRNA from 1 species